CUCUGUUGAGGAUAAGCCUGAUCAUCGAGGACUACUCCCAGUCCUCUUUGGAACCAACAGGAAAUCCCCGUGCCACUUUCCCUUUUGGAAGUCAGAAUGGUACUUUGUACUGCAGUGGAAGACCCUAUGGCUAUCUUCAUUCUAUGUAGCAAAAGCAAAGGUCUUCAUGAGAUGUGAUAAAAAAUACACUGAAUCGUGCUGCUGAGUGCCAUCUAAUGGAAAGGCAGGCUCAAAAAAGCUUUAUGGUGUGCCCUCAUCUGCCUUAUUCACUGGAUCUGACAUCAUGCUACUUCACCAAAGUCAAAAUGGCUACGAAAGGUCAACAUUUAAGUGAAUUUGGGACAUUGAGGCAGCUGCCUCGGGUCAACUAAAGAUUCGCAUGGAAGAGUACUUCCAGAACUGCUUCAGAAAGUGGAAGAAUGAUGGGAUAAGGGGAUUUAAUGGCAAUGUGUCUUGUACUAUAAUAAACUAUUUUUAAUUUAAAUAUUCACUGUAUUUUAAUUACACUUCAUAUAUAUGGAAAUGUUGAUUGUAAUGUCAAGCUUUCUAAAAAUAAAUGUUUCAUAAUGAUUUCUAUUAAACAUUUAGCAUGUUAGCUCCAAAUACAGUACUCUUCUCACUCCAGGCACACUUCCCAGACCCUCCAAGUCUACAUCUCUAGGACAGGGGCUGAGCUACUCAAUUCCCACCUCCUGAGAUGAUGCUGUAGACAGCUGCAUUGUCCAAGCCCUUGCAGGCACAGACACUGUGUGACACUGGGUAUUUAAACCUGUAAAAUUAUUUUCAGCUUUGUAUAUUUUUACAUCUGGCCUUGAAUGGAAUUGUAGUUUUGGAACUGAUGGUUGAAAUGUCUUAGUUAAAUGGAAGAGUUUGUUGUUUUCAUAAGCUAUCAAACUACUGAUAACUUUAUUUACAUUAUUUGAUAAAUAUGUUGCAUUUUCUCUCUGGAUUUCUGCUGUACUAACGUCCUGGUUUCUGGACAAGUUUUCUUAAACCCUGUGAUAACUUCUAUAAAAUAAAAUAAACAUCUCCUCAUAGCAUGACAUUUAAAAAGAUAACCCCAAUGGUAGGAAAAGGAUUUUGAAAGUUACCAUAUAGAAAUGAUAAAUGCUUGAGAAUAUAAGUAUGGUUAAACUGAUUUAGGAUUACACAAUGUAUACAUGCAUCAAAACUUAACAUGGUACCCCAUUAAUAUGUACAGUAUUUGUUUGAUGUAUCAGUUAAAAUAAAUUAAAAUUUUAGAAAGAUUAUCUCCUCAAUAUGUUGUCAAAGUGUGCUAAAUAUUUUGGUUCAAAUUCAUGCCAUAAUUAUGAGCAAAU
ensembl:lncRNA